CCUACGGGUGGCAGCAGUGAGGAAUAUUGGUCAAUGGGCGUAAGCCUGAACCAGCCAAGUCGCGUGAGGGAUGAAGGUUCUAUGGAUCGUAAACUUCUUUUAUAAGGGAAUAAAGUGUGGGACGUGUCCUGUCUUGUAUUUACCUUAUGAAUAAGGAUCGGCUAACUCCGUGCCAGCAGCCGCGGUAAUACGGAGGAUCCGAGCGUUAUCCGGAUUUAUUGGGUUUAAAGGGUGCGUAGGUGGCGUUUUAAGUCAGAUGUGAAAGUCUGUGGCUCAACCGUAGAAUUGCAGUUGAAACUGGGAGGCUUGAGUAUAGUUGAGGAAGGCGGAAUGCGAGGUGUAGCGGUGAAAUGCGUAGAUAUAACGAAGAAC
rnacentral:rRNA from 1 species